ACAGCCAGAGCCAUGCAAGCGCAGUUCUCUUCGGACAGGUAAACCCUUUCUCAGCGGGCUCCUCCGCGCGCUGAGUGUCAGUUGCACGUCUUACCUGAUAGGUGGGUAGGCACUCGCCUGUGGAGGAGCCUGAAGCUUCUAGGGGUGCCUUGCUCUUUCAGGAGAAAGCGGCCAGAAGGAGCGGGUGGGGAGCCCUGGAGAGGUGGGAGUGGAGGCUCUCUUUUAUACCUGCGUCUGUCGCUGAUUCCAAAAGGCGUAGGGGAGCCCGGGACGCGCCCUCCAGGCCACUGGGCGGGCAGUGUAUCCUGCGGGAACCCGAGCCUGCUCGGGGCUCUGUGGGGUUGAGGGUCGUGGAAGGCUUCUAGGCGCAGGAGCGGCGGCGACUGUGGCUACUGACAUUAAGAAGGGUCCCCGGGAGUUUUGCGAGAAAUUAGAGGGUGACGACGGCCAGCGGGCGCUGGUCAUAAAAUUCCGGGCUCAGCCCGGCCUCCAGAGGUCAGAAAUAGGUGGUUAUCUGAGAGGGAGGGACGAGGCGAACUCUCCGAGAGCCACAAACUGGAGAAGCCGCUCCCGCUGGCUGGGACCAGGGACUCUCCUGCAAGAGGCCUAGGGUCACUAAGGAAACAUAACCAGCGGUAGUGCAGGGAACGGAACCUGCGUGAUGUCACAGCGGCUGGAGCAGAGCCACUGUCUCAAGACUCUGCCCUUCUUCAAGAGAAGAGCCCAGAAGAAGAGAGAAUGACUGCUAGGCCCUUUAUGGCUGGAUUCAGGCCAUGUAAGGCAUGCCUGCUUCCCCUUCACCUUCCACCAUGAUUGUAAGUUUCCUGAGGCCUCCCCAGGUGUGCUUCCUGUACAGCCUGUGGAAUGUUACCAAAGACGUUGGAAGAGGUGGCUAUGGACAUCACCUGGGAGAAGUGGAAGCAAAUGGACACUGUUCAGAAGUCCAUAUACAGAAACAUGUUGGAAAAAUAUAGAAACCUGGUUUUGCUAGAUGGGAAGCUUGAACGUGGGGCCAAGACAUCAAGAGUAGAGCAGCAGGACAUUUCAAAAGAAGAUUAAUCUCAAAGAUUAGAGAUGGAAGAACUUGCAAAGAGAAAGUCUGUACCGGAAGAAAUCUGGAAAUCUAGAGGCCAGUUUAAGAAUCAGCAGCUAAACAAGGAGAAUAAUCUAGGGCAAGAGAUAGCUACCUGCACAAAAAUUCCUACCAGAAAAAGAGACAUAGAAUCUAAUGAAUUUGUGAAAAAUUUUACUGUAAGAUCAAUACUUGUUGCAGAACAGAUAGAUCCUAUGGAAGAGAAUUGUCAUAAAUAUGGUACAUGUUGAAAGAUGCUCAAACAAAACUCAGAUUUAAUUAUACAAAGAAAGUAUGAUGGAAAAAAAAAAACCUUGUAAAUAUAGUGAAUGUGGGAGAACCUUCAGAGGCCACAUCACUCUUGUUCAGCAUCAAAUAACUCAUUGUGGAGAGAGACCCUGUAAAUGUACUGAGUGUAGAAAGGGAUUUAAUCAGAGUUCCCACUUAAGAAAUAAUCAGAAAACUCUUUCAGGAGAAAAGCCCUACAAAUGCAGUGAGUGUGGGAAGGCCUUCAGUUAUUGCUUAGUUCUUAAUCAACACCAGAGAAUUCACAGUGGAGAGAAACCUUAUGAGGGUACUGAAUGUGGCAAGACAUUCAGUCGUAGUACAUACCUUACUCAGCAUCAAAGAAUUCACACUGGUGAGAAGCCCUAUACAUGUCUUGAAUGUGGAAAGGCUUUUAGUCAGAACACACAUCUUACUCUACAUCAGAGAAUCCAUACUGGAGAGAAACCUUAUGAAUGCAAUGAAUGUGGUAGGUCCUUUAGUCAGAGUGCACAUCUUACUCAACAUCAAAGAAUGUAUACAGGAGAAAAACUCUAUGAAUGUAAUGAAUGUGAGAAAGCCUUCCAUGAUCACUCAGCUCUUAUUCAACAUCAUAUUGUCCAUACUGCAGAGAAACCCUAUGAAUAUCAUGACUGGGAAAACUUUCAGUUACUGUUCAGACCUCAUUCAACAUCAGAGAAUGCACACUGGAGAGAAACCAUACAAAUGCAAUGAAUGUGGGAAUGCCUUUAGUGAUUGUUCAUCCCUUAUUCAGCAUCAAAGAACUCACACCGGAGAAGAGCCUUAUGAAUGUAAGCAAUGUGGAAAAGCCUUUAGCAGAAGCACAUACCUUACUCAACAUCAGAGAAGUCACGCAGGAGAGAAACAGUAUAAAUGCAAUGAAUGUGAGAAAACUUUCAGCCUGAGUUCAUUCCUUACACAGCAUAUGAGGGUUCAGACUGGAGAAAAACCCUACAAAUAUAAUGAAUAUGGAAAAGCUUUUAGUGACUGCUCAGGACAUUUUCAGAGAACUCACACUGGAGAGAAGCCCUGUGAAUGUAAUGACUGUGGGAAACCUUUCAGUUUCUGUUCAGCCCUAAUUCAACAUAAGAGAAUUCAUACCAGAAAGAAGCCCUGACUGUACCUUCAUACCAGUAAAUGCACUGACUGUGGAAAAGCCUUCAGUGAUUGGUUAGCACUUGUUCAACAUCAGAUAACUCAACACUGGAGAAAAACCGUAUAAAUGUACUGAAUGUGGAAAAGCCUUCAGUUGGAGUACAGACCUCAAAAAUCACCAGAAAACUCAUACUAGUGAAAAAUCCUAUAAAUGUAAUGAAUGUAGAAAGGCCUUUAGUUACUGCUCUGGUCUUAUUCAAUGUCAGGUCAUUCAUACUAUAGAAAAACCUUAUGAAUACGGUAAAUGUGGCAAAGCCUUUAGGCAGAGGACAGACCUUAAAAAACAUCAGAAAAUGCAUACCGAAGAGAAACCCUAUGAAUGUAAUGAAUGUGGGAAAGCCUUUAGCCAGAGCACAUAUCUUACAAAACACCAAAAAAUUCAUAGUGAAGAGAAAUCAAAUAUACAUACUGAGUGUGGGGAAACCAUUAGACAAAACUCUUCUUUUUUACAACAAUAAAAACCUCACACUGGAGAGAUUCUCUGAAUGCCUUAAGAAUUUGGUUAAUAUGGAGACCCUUCCCAGGGAAACAGAAGGAGGAUCGUGAAAACUGUUGACUACUUAGAAUGAUCACAUGGUUUAGUGGAGAGAGCAUGAUUCUGGGUUUUAAAAGUCAUGGAUCUCAAUCUCAGCUCCUAUUACUAACUAGAUCUUUUACUUUGGGGUAAGUCACUUCAUAUCUUUAGGCCUUAAUUUCCUCAUCUGAAAAACUGGAAGGCCUGACUUGUUGAGCUUUAAGAUCCUCAAUUAUUAUAUUUACUAGGAAUUCAAGUUUCUAUAGAUGUGGUUCAGAAUUGUGACUUAUUUAUUGUACAUCAGGUGUGAUUCACAAGUGAGCUUGUAGUAGUUAUUAAGGAGUCAAUAAAGAUAUGAUAUAGAGCACGUGUCAUGUAGCUGUUUAUUACCCUUGCAUUACUUUUCUAAAAUACAUGUCACAAAUAUUGAAGAAAACUAAGAGAUAAAGUGGUAUAAGUUCUAUGAAUUAUUACAUUAGGGGUUUGAGAUCUUUUCUUGAUUAAGAAUAUGGUAUUAGAUAAAAACUGAGAAAAAAAGAAUCAAAUUGUUGAUAGAUAAAGGCUAAGUUACCUGGAUUUCAUUCAAGCCCAAUCUUGCAAUAUAAACCUCUACUAAGUUGAAUAUGGCAGUCAUCAUGUUCCAGCUGAGAAGGGGCUGGAAAACAUGACUUAAUCAAGUAUCUAGAAAGGGUGAAAUUGGAAAGUGCAUUUGUUAUUUCCACACCUAAAUAUGUAAAGGCCAUGUAAAUGAGAGUACAUUUUGAGAUCUAAUAUGUCUAGAAAAGUCUGUUGUCUUUUUCUUAUGGUUACAGAGACGAUGGCCUGAAAAUAUGAAGAUUUAGCUCAGAAGCCUGUAAUUUACAAUUGAUCAUCUAGGGACAGGAAAAUCCACUUGUUAUGGAACUUAUCCAGUGUGUGGCUUAGUGCAGACUUACUGAGUUUGGAGUUGGUUUUGGUGUCCAGGACAACUGCUUACACAUAAGGAUAAAUAAUGAUGAACCUGCUAGAUAGUCGUUGAGAAAACUUAAAGCAGUAGUGUUUAAGCUUUUGUGAAUUUAUAUGUCCCUCUGAGAACCUGUUACUUCCAUAGACUUUCUCACUGGAAUAAUGCAUGGCACAUUCAUAUGAUUUUGUGAACAGCUACAAAAUGAAUAUGUGUAAAAUUGGUAGUACUAUAUACACAUAAGUACUAAUAAUUUGAAAGCAUAAUAGAAAAAAUAUUCACAAUAGCUGUAGAAAUAUGAAAUAUGGGAAUGAGUUUAAUAACAAAUAUGCAAGACAACAAAAAUUAUUUAGAAAUUUUUAUAAUGAGAAAAGGCUGAUUUCAUACAUGAGGAAUUAUGUACCUUUAUGGGAUGAGUGAAUACAAUUGUCAGUUAAAACCAUAUUUGUAAGCUAAAUUUAAGAUGAUUCUAAUUUUAGUAUGAAAGAAAAAAAGGGUGAUGAGUGGGCAAAAUAUUUCCAAAAUAUGAUAAUUCUGAGUUAGCAUGGCAGGGGAGCUGCAAAACAAUUGAUACAUCAGUAAAGCACAAGAGAAAACACUAAUUUUUUCAGUACAUGAAAUAAUUUAGCAUAUGAAAUUCUAAAUGAGGAGUGGUUGGAUAAUUCAGUAAAUUUUCAGAGAAGUAGCUAAUUGUUAUAGCAAAUACAUUUCCCAGAUGGUUAAAGAU
ensembl:lncRNA novel transcript